UGCCAGCAGCCGCGGUAAUACGUAGGUGGCAAGCGUUGUCCGGAUUUAUUGGGCGUAAAGCGAGCGCAGGCGGUUUUUUAGGUCUGAUGUGAAAGCCUUCGGCUUAACCGGAGAAGUGCAUCGGAAACCGGGAGACUUGAGUGCAGAAGAGGACAGUGGAACUCCAUGUGUAGCGGUGAAAUGCGUAGAUAUAUGGAAGAACACCAGUGGCGAAGGCGGCUGUCUGGUCUGUAACUGACGCUGAGGCUCGAAAGCAUGGGUAGCGAACAGGAUUAGAUACCCUGGUAGUCCAUGCCGUAAACGAUGAGUGCUAAGUGUUGGAGGGUUUCCGCCCUUCAGUGCUGCAGCUAACGCAUUAAGCACUCCGCCUGGGGAGUACGACCGCAAGGUUGAAACUCAAAGGAAUUGACGG
rnacentral:rRNA from 1 species